rnacentral:rRNA from 1 species
UACGGAGGGUGCAAGCGUUAUCCGGAAUCACUGGGCGUAAAGGGCGCGUAGGUGGCCUUCUAAGUCCGAUGGCAAAUCCCGGGGCUCAACCCCGGUAAGGCGUUGGAUACUGGUAGGCUGGACGGCUGGAGAGGCGAGUGGAAUUACCAGUGUAGCGGUGGAAUGCGUAGAUACUGGUAGGAACACCUAUGGCGAAGGCAGCUCGCUGGACAGCACGUGACGCUGAGGCGCGAAAGUGUGGGGAGCAAACCGGAUUAGAUACCCGGGUAGUCCACACCCUAAACGAUGCAUACUUGGUGUUGGCCCGUUGGGGUCAGCGCCGGAGCUAACGCGUUAAGUAUGCCGCCUGGGAAGUACGGCCGCAAGGUUGAA